UACGAAAGGGGCUAGCGUUGUUCGGAAUUACUGGGCGUAAAGCGCGCGUAGGCGGGCUAGCAAGUUGGGGGUGAAAUCCCGGGGCUCAACCUCGGAACUGCCUCCAAAACUGCUAGCCUAGAGGAUGUGGGAGGAUAGUGGAAUUCCGAGUGUAGAGGUGAAAUUCGUAGAUAUUCGGAAGAACACCAGUGGCGAAGGCGACUGUCUGGCGCAUUUCUGACGCUGAGGUGCGAAAGCGUGGGGAGCAAACAGG
rnacentral:rRNA from 1 species